rnacentral:rRNA from 1 species
AUGGGGGACUGCGACGCUACCGCCUCAUUCAUGAGCGAUCUGAUCCGCGCGAUAUUCAAGCUUGUGUGGAGCCGGCGGACCGAUAGGGGCGGCCCCGUCGACGAGGCCGUAGACAUCGAGCCUGCUGCGGAGACGUCAAGGAGGAACCGGAGUACCUCUGCUAAUGCAAGUGCACUGCAAGUGAGCUGCGAACUUCUUCGGAUGUUUGUCGCAGAGGCUGUCCAGCGCUGUGCUGUUAUCGCUGAAGCAGAGGGGGCGACCACAAUUGAGCCCACCCACCUGGAGCGAGUCUUGCCACAGCUUCUUCUGGACUUCUAG